UCCCCGGGCUCCACCUGGGACCUGCGUUCUGAACUGGGUGACUAGAGUGUGUCAGAGGGAGGUAGAAUUCCACGUGUAGCAGUGAAAUGCGUAGAGAUGUGGAGGAAUACCGAUGGGCGAAGGCAGCCUCCUGGGAUAACACUGACGUUCAUGCUCGAAAGCGUGGGUAGCAAACAGGAUUAGAUACCCUGGUAGUCCACGCCCUAAACGAUGUCAAUUAGCUGUUGGGCAACUUGAUUGCUUAGUAGCGUAGCUAACGCGUGAAAUUGACCGCCUGGGGAGUACGGUCGCAAGAUUAAAACUCAAAGGAAUUGACGGGGACCCGCACAAGCGGUGGAUGAUGUGGAUUAAUUCGAUGCAACGCGAAGAACCUUACCUGGUCUUGACAUGUACGGAAUCCUCCAGAGACGGAGGAGUGCCUUCGGGAGCCGUAACACAGGUGCUGCAUGGCUGUCGUCAGCUCGUGUCGUGAGAUGUUGGGUUAAGUCCCGCAACGAGCGCAACCCUUGUCAUUAGUUGCCAUCAUUUAGUUGGGCACUCUAAUGAGACUGCCGGUGACAAGCCGGAGGAAGGUGGGGAUGACGUCAAGUCCUCAUGGCCCUUAUGACCAGGGCUUCACACGUCAUACAAUGGUCGGUACAGAGGGUAGCCAAGCCGCGAGGUGGAGCCAAUCUCACAAAACCGAUCGUAGUCCGGAUUGCACUCUGCAACUCGAGUGCAUGAAGUCGGAAUCGCUAGUAAUCGCAGGUCAGCAUACUGCGGUGAAUACGUUCCCGGGUCUUGUACACACCGCCCGUCACACCAUGGGAGUGGGGGAUACCAGAAG
rnacentral:rRNA from 1 species